CACGUGGGUAACCUGCCCAAGAGAUCGGGAUAACACCUGGAAACAGAUGCUAAUACCGGAUAACAACAGAUGAUGCCUAUCAACUGUUUAAAAGAUGGUUCUGCUAUCACUCUUGGAUGGACCUGCGGUGCAUUAGCUAGUUGGUAGGGUAACGGCCUACCAAGGCGAUGAUGCAUAGCCGAGUUGAGAGACUGAUCGGCCACAUUGGGACUGGGACACGGCCCAAACUCCUACGGGAGGCAGCAGUU
rnacentral:rRNA from 1 species